rnacentral:rRNA from 1 species
UUGGAGGGCAAGUCUGGUGCCAGCAGCCGCGGUAAUUCCAGCUCCAAUAGCGUAUAUUAAAGUUGUUGCAGUUAAAAAGCUCGUAGUUGAAUUUCAGGGUUCCACCGUUGGUCGGGCUAUUGUUUGUACUGGCGCGUGGAAUUUCUACCUUCUGGGGAACUAUCAUGUUAUUAAUUUAGCGUGGUAGGAAACCAGGACCUUUACCUUGAAAAAAUUAGAGUGUUCAAAGCAGGCUUAUGUCUGAAUACAUUAGCAUGGAAUAAUAAAAUAGGACGGUGGUCCUGUUUUGUUGGUUUCUGAAUCACCGUAAUGAUUAAUAGGGAUAGUUGGGGGUAUUAGUAUUCAAUUGUCAGAGGUGAAAUUCUUGGAUUUAUUGAAGACUAACUACUGCGAAAGCAUUUGCCAAGGAUGUUUUCAUUAAUCAAGAACGAAAGUUAGGGGAUCGAAGACGAUCAGAUACCGUCGUAGUCUUAACCAUAAACUAUGCCGACUAGGGAUCGGACGAUGUUAAUUUUUCUUGACUCGUUCGGCGCCUUACGGGAAAC